rnacentral:rRNA from 1 species
UACCAGCACCCCGAGUGGUCGGGACGAUUAUUGGGCCUAAAGCAUCCGUAGCCGGUUCUGCAAGUCCUCCGUUAAAUCCACCUGCUCAACAGAUGGGCUGCGGAGGAUACCGCAGAGCUAGGAGGCGGGAGAGGCAAACGGUACUCAGUGGGUAGGGGUAAAAUCCAUUGAUCCAUUGAAGACCACCAGUGGCGAAGGCGGCUUGCCAGAAUGCGCUCGACGGUGAGGGAUGAAAGCUGGGGGGAGCAAACCGG